rnacentral:rRNA from 4 species
AACUUUCAACAACGGAUCUCUUGGUUCCGGCAUCGAUGAAGAACGCAGCGAAAUGCGAUAAGUAAUGUGAAUUGCAGAAUUCCGUGAAUCAUCGAAUCUUUGAACGCACAUUGCGCCCUCUGGUAUUCCGGGGGGCAUGCCUGUUCGAGCGUCAU